rnacentral:lncRNA from 1 species
UAACUGUCCAGGAUUUGGAUGGAAACUGGCCUCCACCUUGUUCACUAUGGGCGCUGGGACCCCACCCACAACUAGCUGGCUUGGGAGGGAGGGUCAGUGUGAGCGGGGCUGACCUCUGCUAGUUGAGGCAGAGGAGGCUGAGGCCGAGCUGAAAGUGGGCACCUCCCCAGGCAAGGCUGGAGGAAUAUCAGUAUGAUUGGGGCCCUCCCGCCUCCCCCAGGUGCUGUUUGAGGCCCUCAUCUCCCCAGACCGCAGGGGCUACAUGGGCCUAGAUGACAUCCUGCUUCUCAGCUACCCCUGCGCAAAGGCCCCACACUUCUCCCGCCUGGGCGACGUGGAGGUCAACGCGGGCCAGAACGCGUCGUUCCAGUGCAUGGCCGCGGGCAGAGCGGCCGAGGCCGAACGCUUCCUCUUGCAAGUGAGCGGGAGCGGUGAUCUUGGCUGGGGGCGGGGUGGGAGGGGGUUGGUGGCUGCUUCUGGCCCUGACUCCCCGCAGAUUGCUGAGUCCCUGCUUCAUACUCCAGCACCGCGCACAGCGUCCCGGCCCUCCCCUAGCUCUGCUCUGCGCUCUCUUGGGUCCCCCAUUCCCCCAGGUUAGAGCGCGGCUCCAGGAACCUAUGUCCGCGCGGUGUAGUAGGGACGGCUAAAUGGGGCUCGGGUCAGAGCGAGAUCGGGACCCCUCGCUCCGAGGCGCCCCUGACCCCCUCACUCUCUUCCCUGCAGCGGCAGAGCGGGGCGCUGGUGCCGGCGGCGGGCGUGCGGCACAUCAGCCACCGGCGCUUCCUGGCCACUUUCCCGCUGGCUGCCGUGAGCCGCGCCGAGCAGGACCUGUACC